GUCCAGCUGAUGAGUCCCAAAAAGAACGAAACGCGCGUCCUGGAU
rnacentral:hammerhead_ribozyme from 1 species